CACUACAGCUUUGGUGGUGAAGUCUGCGACCAAGCAAUGGUCAGUUCAUUCAGAACCGCCUAAUUGAACGGACGUGAUUGCGCAAACGAAGUUGUUAAUUCGACCACAACAUUUAACCGUUAAAUGUUGCUUGCGGCGAACGUGUGUUGGAAUAAAGCUGGAAAUAUAAAAACGAAUCACUAAGUGCAUUUAAUAAAGAAAUUAUAUUAAAAAUAUUGAUUAGAAGAAAUACUGUGUGCCUGUGCAUUAGCAUUAGUAGAUAAAAAUCUGCUGUUAAGUUGAGAAACUUCACACUUUGCUGCCCUUCUUCCCUGUUGUUGCACUUCCGGUGGUAAAUGAAUUUCAAAAUGCGUACAUGCGGCAUGAGUUUGGUCAAGUAUAUACUGUUCGCCUUCAAUAUCAUAUUUGCGAUAUCGGGGCUCGGUAUUUUAAUAGCCGGUGCGGUUGUCCUUGCCGAUGUCAACCAAUUCAGUCACUUUGUCGAGGGUAGAGUGACGGCGCCACCCAUUGUACUUAUUGUGACCGGUUUAAUCAUAUUUCUCAUUGCAACGUUGGGUUGUUUUGGCGCCAUCAAGGAGUCACCAACAUUACUGCUCACCUAUGCUGUGCUGCUCGCCAUCAUCUUCAUUGUCGAGUUAGCCGUGGGCAUUGCCGCGGCUGUCUUCAAGGCGGACCUGGAAAUGAUGCUAAAGAACUCACUGCAGGAGUCUAUAAAACGUUCAAAUCAUGAGGAUAUGAUGGCUUGGGACAAUGUGCAGCGAAAGUUGAUGUGUUGCGGUGUCGACAAUCCAGCCGAUUGGCGUACACUUAGCGCCAAUAAAACAUUGCCGGCUAGCUGCUGUCGCGAAAAAUACAUUGAUGAGGCCGUUGGACAUUGCACUGAGUCGUUGGCGUUGGGCGUGGAUAAGUAUUUUCAGGAGGGUUGCGUCGGCAAACUUAGGGAACGAAUCGAUAAGAACGCCGUCAUCCUAAUUGGUGUGGGUAUUGGUAUUGCCUUCAUACAAAUACUGGGCAUUAUACUGGCAUGCUACCUGGCUUCCACAAUACGUCACGAACGCAUGAAAUAAAUAUGAGGAAAACGAGGUUAGUCAAUUAGUCGUGGUUAAGCUGCCACUUGUAGAUAUUAAUUACAAAAUUGAUAAAAGUAUCAAAAAACUCGAAAAUCACUAACAAAGCAACAUCUCAUAAUCAAAGCAGCAUAAUCAUAAGCAAUACUCAUCUCUACAGUAAUAAUGAAGGACAAAUCAUAAAUUCCAAUACAUAUCUAUAUACAGACUUAUGUAUAUUUUACUAACAGCGGCGGAGCGAUGAUAUUAAAGACUUAUAUCAAUUGAGUGCCUUAGCAUUGUGAGACUCCACUUGUUUGAGUUAUUGUUUACACUUUCAGAUAUUCAAAAUCACCGUCCACAAGUAUUCUAAAUAUUUCUUACGAUACAAAAUAUUUUAAUGAAUGCUUAUAAAUGUAUUGUUGCUUUUUAUAUGUUAAAUAAAAAAAAUUUCUUAAAUAAAUAAUCACAACAAACGGUUUGAAUUUAGUUAAUUAUCCUUUGCCACCAAGUCGGAUCUAUGUAACCGCAACGGAUGCAGAUUUUUAACAGGCUAAGAAUAAUCAACUCGGACUUUCAAUAUGGUGGUGGUGUCAUCAAGAAGGAACUUGUGGC